rnacentral:rRNA from 1 species
UGGGGAAUAUUGGACAAUGGGCGAAAGCCUGAUCCAGCCAUGCCGCGUGUGUGAAGAAGGUCUUCGGAUUGUAAAGCACUUUAAGUUGGGAGGAAGGGCAUUAACCUAAUACGUUAGUGUUUUGACGUUACCGACAGAAUAAGCACCGGCUAACUCUGUGCCAGCAGCCGCGGUAAUACCGAGGGUGCAAGCGUUAAUCGGAAUUACUGGGCGUAAAGCGCGCGUAGGUGGUUUGUUAAGUUGGAUGUGAAAUCCCCGGGCUCAACCUGGGAACUGCAUUCAAAACUGACUGACUAGAGUAUGGUAGAGGGUGGUGGAAUUUCCUGUGUAGCGGUGAAAUGCGUAGAUAUAGGAAGGAACACCAGUGGCGAAGGCGACCACCUGGACUAAUACUGACACUGAGGUGCGAAAGCGUGGGGAGCAAACA